GAAACAUCCCUAUGGAGUGGGACUUGCUUCAGUGGGGCUUUGGUGCUCACUGAGUCUGUCCCUUAAGUGUGUCCUU
rnacentral:pre_miRNA from 1 species